rnacentral:rRNA from 1 species
GUAAAGGGCGCGUAGGCGGGAAGAAAAGUCAGAUGUGAAAUCCUGGAGCUCAACUUCAGAACAGCAUUUGAAACUCUCUUUCUAGAGGGUAGGCGGAGAAAACGGAAUUCCACAAGUUAGCGGUGAAAUGCGUAUGAUAUGUGGAAGAACACCGGUGGCGAAGGCGGUUUUCUAGCUUAUUCCUGACGCUGAGGCGCGAGAGCAAUGGGAUCAAACAGGAUUAGAUACCCUGGUAGUCCUUGCCGUAAACUAUGUAUACUUGGUGUAACUGGACUCAACCCCGGUUGUGCCGUAGCUAACGCGAUAAGUAUACCGCCUGGGGAGUACGCUCGCAAGGGUGAAACUCAAAAGAAUUGACGGGGACCCGCACAAGCAGUGGAGCAUGUGGUUUAAUUCGAUGCAACGCGAAGAACCUUACCCAGACUUGACAUACAGUGGAAGUUAGCAGAAAUGUUAACGCCCUUCGGGGCUGCUGAACAGGUGCUGCAUGGCUGUCGUCAGCUCGUGCCGUGAGGUGUUGGGUUAAGUCCCGCAACGAGCGCAACCCUUAUCGUUAGUUGCCAACAGGUAAAGCUGGGAACUCUAGCGAGACUGCCUGGGUUAAACCAGGAGGAAGGUGAGGAUGACGUCAAGUCAGCAUGGCCCUUAUGUCUGGGGCUACACACGUGCUACAAUGGCCGGUACAAAAGGCAGCGAAACCGCGAGGUGAAGCAAAUCCCAAAAGCCGGCCCCAGUUCAGAUUGUAGUCUGCAACUCGACUACAUGAAGACGGAA